AAGAAUAAAUUAAACUGAAAGGACAAUUUAAUCUGAUUUGGGUAAUUUAGUCAAUUAUUUUAUUUCUCAGAAUGGCUUGUGUGGGACAAAAAGGGGUCCACAUUUUAUAUAGAGGCAGUUAAUUUUAUUUUCUUCCUGAAUAAACAUCCAAGAUUUGUAAAGAAACCACUAUCAAAGGACAUUCUUAGCAGGUCCAGUGGGCUUGUUGCUCCAGACCUCAUGCCUUCUGGACCCAGACAUCUCUGCAAUCUCGGAACUGGAAUACACCACUUCUUGUCAAGGUACUAGCAAGUUGACUAUGAACUGCUGGGAGAUAAGACCAUCUGAUUUAUCCGUGUACAUACAGCAGCUAGCAC